UACUGGGCGUAAAGAGCUCGUAGGUGGUUUGUCGCGUUGUUCGUGAAAUCUCACGGCUUAACUGUGAGCGUGCGGGCGAUACGGGCAGACUUGAGUACUGCAGGGGAGACUGGAAUUCCUGGUGUAGCGGUGGAAUGCGCAGAUAUCAGGAGGAACACCGGUGGCGAAGGCGGGUCUCUGGGCAGUAACUGACGCUGAGGAGCGAAAGCGUGGGGAGCGAACAGGAUUAGAUACCCUGGUAGUCCACGCCGUAAACGGUGGGUACUAGGUGUGGGUUUCCUUCCUUGGGAUCCGUGCCGUAGCUAACGCAUUAAGUACCCCGCCUGGGGAGUACGGCCGCAAGGCUAAAACUCAAAGAAAUUGACGGGGGCCCGCACAAGCGGCGGAGCAUGUGGAUUAAUUCGAUGCAACGCGAAGAACCUUACCUGGGUUUGACAUGCACAGGACGCCGGCAGAGAUGUCGGUUCCCUUGUGGCCUGUGUGCAGGUGGUGCAUGGCUGUCGUCAGCUCGUGUCGUGAGAUGUUGGGUUAAGUCCCGCAACGAGCGCAACCCUUGUCUCAUGUUGCCAGCGGGUAAUGCCGGGGACUCGUGAGAGACUGCCGGGGUCAACUCGGAGGAAGGUGGGGAUGACGUCAAGUCAUCAUGCCCCUUAUGUCCAGGGCUUCACACAUGCUACAAUGGCCGGUACAAAGGGCUGCGAUGCCGCGAGGUUAAGCGAAUCCUUUUAAAGCCGGUCUCAGUUCGGAUCGGGGUCUGCAACUCGACCCCGUGAAGUCGGAGUCGCUAGUAAUCGCAGA
rnacentral:rRNA from 1 species